UACAGAGGGUGCAAGCGUUGUUCGGAAUUAUUGGGCGUAAAGCGCACGUAGGCGGCUUUGUAAGUUAGAGGUGAAAGCCCGGGGCUCAACCCCGGAAUUGCCUUUAAGACUGCAUCGCUUGAAUCCGGGAGAGGUGAGUGGAAUUCCGAGUGUAGAGGUGAAAUUCGUAGAUAUUCGGAAGAACACCAGUGGCGAAGGCGGCUCACUGGACCGGUAUUGACGCUGAGGUGCGAAAGCGUGGGGAGCAAACAGG
rnacentral:rRNA from 1 species